rnacentral:tRNA from 1 species
GCCCUCGUGGUGAAAUUGGUAGACACGCAAGCUUGAGGUGCUUGUGCUGAAAGGCAUCGCGGUUCGAGUCCGCGCGAGGGCA